ACUGCCCCGAGGCGGAGGACCGGCCCGGAGCUCUGCGCCCCGGCCGACCAGCUGUCUGCUGUUGUUCCGGACAUGCCCAUAAACUCACCUGUUCCAGCUCGCACUCAGGACUCGGGAAUGAACCCCACAGCAUGAGGUGUAUGGACAACAUAGUGACGGUCCUGGAUGUCUGAACAGAAAGAAGAGGAGCCAAGCAUGGAGGAGACGGCAGGGGAGCAACCACAGCCUGAGGUGCACACUGACGCAUGGUGACAACAGCCACCAAGAUUUGAGUCUGGAGGGUGAUGCCAGAAAUCCGGAUGUGGAGACAAGACAAACACAUCAAAUCUCAAGCAAAAGGCCGUCACAAAGUGGCUCCUGCUGUUCUACCCAGCUGCCUUGCCUGCGCCUCCCAGUCCAGGUCCUCACCACAGUGCCCACCUGGUUAAGACAGAUGUGUCAGUGUUGGGCAGAUAUUUACUCAGCCAUCUACUUCCUGGCUUCCUGGUUCUGUGUGUUAGAUCCUGUAGUCACCCCCAGGCUGGAGGCCAGUGUUUUUGCUGGGUGGGAGUAAAGGGACGCAUAAACAGAGUCAACCCUCUUGUGUUCUAAAAAUCCAGGCUGGAAUUAUGUACAUAUUUCAUGUCAGAAAAAUAAAAUGUGUCUUGGCAGCAGCUGGAACAUU